UACAGAGGGGGCAAGCGUUGUUCGGAAUUACUGGGCGUAAAGGGCGCGUAGGCGGCCUGUUAAGUCGAACGUGAAAUCCCCGGGCUCAACCCGGGAACUGCGUCCGAUACUGGCAGGCUUGAAUCCGGGAGAGGGAUGCGGAAUUCCAGGUGUAGCGGUGAAAUGCGUAGAUAUCUGGAGGAACACCGGUGGCGAAGGCAGGUCUCUGGGCCACUACUGACGCUGAGAAGCGAAAGCAUGGGGAGCGAACAGG
rnacentral:rRNA from 1 species